AAGUGAUCAGCACAAUCCCCGAAACUCUCAUGCAUGGAGAUCAUGAUGAAAUGCAGUGGAUGUGAAAGAGAGAGACACAUUAAACAUUCACACCUCUUACGAGUUUCGAGAUGUCCUUGGGCUGUGCUGCUGUCCUGACACCUCCAGCACAUCCCGUCUCUGCUCUCCAGCUCUCGGUCCAGCUGCUCUCACUCUACCCUGACAGCUCCUCUCGUUUUCCG